CCCACCGUAGCUCAGCCCGGUUCAGAGCGCCCGGCUGUAGAUAAAGGGCAGUUACCGGGUGGUCCGGGGUUCAAGUCCCCGCGGUGGGA
rfam:Metallosphaera sedula DSM 5348, complete genome.